rnacentral:rRNA from 1 species
UACGAAGGGGGGCUAGCGUUGUCCGGAAUCAUUGGGCGUAAAGCGCGUGUAGGCGGUCCGGUAAGUCCGCUGUGAAAGUCGGGGGCUCAACCCUCGGAUGCCGGUGGAUACUGUCGGGCUUGAGUACGGAAGAGGCGAGUGGAAUCCUGGUGUAGCGGUGGAAUGCGCAGAUAUCAGGAGGAACACCAAUAGGCGAAGGCAGCUCGCUGGGACGGUACUGACGCUGAGGCGCGAAAGCGU